rnacentral:lncRNA from 1 species
GAGUUCUUAAAUUCUGUUCCUGGUUUCCUAGGAACAAAAUAGAUGGAUGUCUGGGGAGAGAUUCUUUAAAUUACAUAAUGUCCUGUUUUCCCCAUUUCUCCAAUAGGGAACGUAGAUAAUCGCAUUCACAUGACUGCAAAUGUAAACUAAGGUAAGUCCCAUAGUGAGUGGGAUAUGAGUAAUAAUAUCCAUGGCACUUUAUUCCAAAAUAUUAAAAACAAAGCAUUACUCUUUACCAUGCUAAUGAAGAGGGUGAUUGGUUUGAGAAAAUGCCUCCCUUGUCAUUUUGACCUAUGAUUCAGUCAUGGUUUGCCUUUGUUUUUCUGGCCUAGAAUCAGCAGGCACAUUGAAGACAUACGCACAUAGAAGACAAUGCUCUGAAUCAAAUUCCACUGGAAGUUUGCAAAUCUGUAGGAAGCCCUUGCAUCCAUUUGGCCUUAAGGUCAAAUUCUGAGAAUGAACAGAUCGUAACUGCCUUGGAAUUGCUUGCUGUUUCCAAACCCCUCAAUCUACUACACGAUGGUUUCUGCUCACCUAAGCCACCUGAAUUAUUAUCAUUAAGUCAGCCAAAGACCCUCUGUUUUCCAAAUCAAAUAUAUAAUUUUUCAGACUCCAUUUUUCUCAAGAUUGUGAGCAGUAUUGUUCUUCCCCAAACCGCCUUGAAACUUUACAUGCACCUAAGUUUCCAUGGUACUGCUAUGCUGUCUCGGCGUUGCAGUCUACCUGGUACACCAUGCUUCAGAGGAAUCCACACGUGGGCUUUUUCAUGUCUUUCCUACUAACUACCUCAGAGCCAUUAUACUCUUAAAUCUGCUAUCUGGUUACUAGUAACUCUGAAAUCUAUAUUUAAUUGAAGGCUCUGGAGUAACUGAUUACUCUUUUCCACAUCAACCAAGCACAAAUCACUCAGAUCUGGCAAGAAGUCAUCCUUUUCUACCCCAAAGUGCUUACCUCCAAACACCCCAAAUAGGCAAAUCAGACAGUAAGGAGUCAGCCCACAUGUCCCUCCUUUGUUCUCUAAACUUGUGGAUCCUGCUUCCUAGAUAGAUCACAUAUUCUUUUCCUGAUCUUCAGCAUCAGUGCUGCCUCACAAAUCAGGCCCACAUCAAUUGGGAUGAGAAUUUUCUAAGAGCCUCCUGAAUGGCUUUUCUGUGUCUUGAUUUCCCCUUGCAAACUGUUGCGUUUUCUUCCAGAGUGAUUUCCUUUUUUCUGAUUGACAACUUAAUCCUUUCUAAAGGUACUCAUCUAGCAUCUUCACAUACAUUUUUAACUCUAUUGAUUUUCAGACAUUUUAUAAGUUGACUUCUGCCUUCAUUUCUAGAAUUGUCUAUCAACACUGUUUCUUUUAGCCUUGAAAGCAAACUGAACUGUUUGUAAUUCACCGAUCACUUUUUACACUCAUUUUCCCAAUGUGUUCUCAGUUGCAUUCUCUACCUAAAAGGGAUGUACUUGUCAAGUUUGGUUGCAUGGCAAAUUCUACAGCUAUCAAUUUGUGCUCAAAAUGUUUAUCUUCUACCUUUGUUGUCUACCAGAGGCAGACCGCUGUGGGUAUGCGUGUUCCUCGUGCCAUCAUGUGUUUGUGUUCAUGCAGUUGAACAACAUGACAAUUACAACAUAUCUUUUAAGGUUUACUUAUUGAUUUGAAAGGUACUGUGAUACCCAUCAAGGUGGCAUGUACCAAUGCCAUCUCACUAGUCCAAGUGAUCAAUUUCAGUUCACAAUUGAUCAUAAUGAAAGGACUAAGAGUCAAAGGGAUCACAUAAACAAGUCUAGUGCCUGCUAAUACUAACCGAUAGAAUAAAUAAAGGGGAGAGCGAUCCA